CGCCCGUGGUGAAAACCCUAGCCGCCUCUCUCCUUUCCCACUCCUCGGUCCUCACCCCGACUCCCCUCUCUCUUCCUCCCGCACGCCACCACCCCGAUUGAACCCUAGCCGCCGCUCCCCUCCCUCCAUCCUUCCCGUCCGCCGCCACGCCAUCGCCGCCAGCCGCACGUCGAGCUCGCGCGUCGCGUUGUCUGGGCGAGAGGAAUCUGGUGCUUCUCUUCCCAGAGGAGCACGCCGUCGCGCCGUCGAUGGAGGAGGCCAGGCGGAUCGACGCGAGGAGGCCAACAGGCGGAGGCGCACCUUCGCCACCGGCUGCGCCCUGGGCGACCCCGACAUGCUCAAGGGGCCCGGCCAAGUCUGAGGCUAGACGGUGCGCGCGGCCGAGGAGCGCGAGCAGCAGGCACUCGAUGCAGCGCUCCCCCGUCACUCCUCCUUCUACGUUCGCUACAGGAGAUGAACAUGUUGUGUUGUGACGGAGGAGAAGGGCAUGGGAUCCGAGCCGAUUGCAUCUUUGUUCACGGACCUUUGGGUCAUCUGCAGGUUGCAAGGUCAGUUUAAUGUACUGCAACCAGGAUGAAUGUGCAUAAGUCUGGAAUUGAGAUUCCCAAUAUUCACAUUGUCGAUAACAAGAUCAUGGUGUUUAUUGCUGACUCGCCUUUCAGCAGGCAGUGGAUGCAGAUUUCUUGGGUGUUCAGGAGGGCAGCAGCCUCGAUGCGGCGAUCAAGUCACUCCUUAGCGCGGAUAAGUAGUGACACCUGAUCGGCAGCAGGAAGUCCGCUGAUCGUCGAGAUCUGCUUAAUGACCAGAUCAUCCUCCUCUCCAAGAGGAGGGGCCGGCUCAAGCAGGUACAGCUAGCUCACCACAGCUCGCUCCUCCUCCCUGUUUCUUCUUCGAUUGUGUCAAACUUGAGCCUCUAGCUACUAUCGCCUAGGGGAGGACUGGGCAGCGAUCUUUUUCACAACUGGAGUUCUGCUCUUGCUACCGGGAGAUCAUGCAUGGUUGGGUUUUCACCCAGAACCAAGGGAGUGUGGAGGACUAGAGAUGUACUUAUGUUUGCCAUAUCUUUAAUUAGAUGUAGGAAAGCAUAAUUUUGUAUCGCAUUUGUUAGUGGAGGUAGCAUCAGAACUCACAAGCAGUCAAUUAGCUUAUUUUAAUUUUGUAUACCUGUGCCAUUUGUUUAGGGUGCUUAGAGAGUGAACAAUACCCUGCCUAAAAAACCAAGCAAAGAUGAUAUGGUUUGGUUUCAGUCUAGCAACUGCCAGUUUAACGAACCCUGGUACUAACCAGGUGCCAAUAUAUAAAUAAAAUUACUAACAUGUAUCAGUUCAUCAUUCCAUGUGAAUGUUUGUCGACCAUCAUUGCCUUGGUCAAAAAUGUUGUCUUCUUAUGAACUGAUAAAGCCAAAAAAGAAUGUGCGUUGUUGUUGUGCUCACUGCCCAGAAGAAGAAUCCAGCCAUAGUGAGGUGAGCACAAAUAAGAGUUGGGACAGAAAAAUGUCGUUGUAUUUCCUCUCAUGCGACUGGCCAAUUUUGUGUGUUUGUUUCAUGCCCAUAGUCUUGCAGGUUGUAUGCGUGUCCGACAUUUAUAUCUGGUUCCUUGUGUCUUUGUUUCAUGUUUAUUUCGGGCUUUCCUUUGUGGCCUCAAAUUAAGUGCAUCAUUGAUUCCAUAUUGAAUAAAUGACUGCAGUCUCAGUUUGCACUUUGUUCUGCAACAUGAAAAUUUAGACUGCUCCUCUUCAUCUCCAGCCUCUGGUCCACUGCUACUCUGGUUUUAUAAAAAGGUAGAUAUUGUUCUUUUCCUAGCUCAUUGGUACUUAUAGCCUUAUGGGAGGCUGAUUCUUAAAUUGGCUAAUAAGCAAGGCUUAAAUGUAGAUGAUUGCCCUUUCUCACUCUUUAGCCUUAUGGAAAAGACGUCUGUGUGGGCGCAUGUCUUGCCAUUCAAUUAGGAUUUAAAGUUAGGAUCUCCUCUGAUUUAUUUACAUACGUAUCUUCCACUACCUAAUCUUUCCCCGUCCUAUAUGCCAUAUAUAAUGCGGUUUGUCUCUGAGACACUUUGAGAUGAUGCAGCUAAUUAACUUUACUUCUACUUGCAUGGACCAACAUUACCUUUGAAACCGAAUCAAGUUCACAAUAGAUGUAACAUAUAUUACCUAUGUUGGGAUGAGGUGGUGCACGGCUAUUCUCAAACUCUAAUACACUGGCUUGUUUUCUUUAAGUGGAUGGUAAUGAUGCAGCUAACUAAUUGUACUUCUAUUUGUAUGAACCAUCAUUACAUUUGAAACUGAAUCAAGUCAACAGUAGAUGUAAAGGAUUUUUUUCUGUCAUGUUGUUUGUCAAAAUGGUGCAUGAUACAUAUCAUGCUCAUUGAUAUGCACGUGGUUACAGUUACUGUUCUGAUUACAAAAACACCCAGGCUCUCUCAUGAGAAAUACAAGAUAACAAAAAACAGUUGGUUACUUCUCUCCGAUUUCACAUGGAUAGUUGGAUUUUGUGGUACAUGUGUAGUUUUAGUUCUGGCGUAACUUUGAUUUACUCCAUGGUUAGUUGUUUGCACACUGUUGGAUGCUGAGUUCAGGUAAAAAUAUCAUGCAGUAUAAGUAAGAAUACUAAUGAGCUUUUGCUCAUUCUAGGGCUGCAGUGACAACUAAGCAUCCGAUAUAUAAUAACAUCAUGCAAGGGGCAUGGAGCGUCGAUCCAAUAUCCACCAGCGAUGAAGGAAGUGGGGAUGGACAUCCGUCGAUCUGCCGUCCCUGCUUUGUGGAGGUAUAAUCUUUCAUAAUGUGUCGCUAACAUAUCUCUGGAAUAAGUUCUUAUGUUCAGUACAUAUAGUCUGGCUGAUUAUUUUUUAGGGGCCUUCUUUGAAAGGCUUCUACGGACUGUUUGAAUUACUGCCUUAGGUUAAUAGAAUUUGAACAUGUGACUUUAUCUUAGUGUCAACCAUCAAAGGAAUUAGUGACCUGUUCUUAAUGAUAUAUAGAGGAGUAGGCAGUAGUGCAUGGUAAUAAUAAAAAAUGCAUCAUGUGUGUGUGCAGGACCCAUGCCCAUGAUUCAUAAUGAUUUGGGACAGUCUUAGAAGAAAAUUUCCCAUUGCUUUCAUCCCAUUUUGAGUGUUAAUUGCAAAGUUCAUCUGUUGGUGAAAAGAACCUGUACUCUUCUUUGUUUAGUGCUCUGUCUCCCUACUUUUAUGACAGAGAAUGGUGUAGGUAUACAAUAAAUGUUCUCUACUCUUGCAGCCCACGUAUACUUAUUGACAGGGUUUGUCUACACUUAUCUUUAAGGCUACAACCUGGAGUCUCAUGGGUGUGAAGAUGAUCUAGGGCAUUGCUUUGUUAGGGCAUUGCUUUGUUAGGGGUUCACUUAUGUACAGGAAUGUCAUGUUCUUUCCCGUGUACUUCCUCCGUUCCUAAAUAUAAGUCUUUGUAGAGAUUUCACCAUGAACCACAUACGGAUGUAUAUAGAUGCAUUUUAAGUGUAGAUUCAUUCAUUUUGUUCCGUACGUAGUCCAUCUAGUGGAAUCUCUACAAAGACUUAUAUUUAGGAACGGAGGGAGUAAUAUAUUGUGGUUUUUUUCUACUCAACACCAUCUGGACUAUGUAUUACUGUAACCUGCUCUAUGUUUUGGGUCUGGGCACUGGACCAUGGUGUUGGACAGGGCACGACGCCCUAAGACCGCUCUUUGGAAUUCCAAUAUACUCGGAGAUCGCUAGAAGUGAAAGUUGAGGACCAACAUGUAUGUUGUAUCACGGAUGUCCCCCUUCAUAGCAUUGUUUUAUGAAAUGCACUGACACUCCGAGAAGGUUGCUCUGAGUAUAUUUGUUACAACAAAGUAUGCUUUGGUAUGAAACUUGCCAAUGUUGUGUGAUUAACCUUGAUGUUUAGUACUGAAUCAUUAAUAAGUGUUUACUAACCUCCUUUUUGAGAUGUUACCUUUGUAGUGAAGUUGUUUUUGUUAUAACUUUAGCCUAUGUUGGGUAGCUGCCUUGCUUAUAUAUGGAUGUGCUGCAAACUUUGUUUUAGAUUAGGACAUGUUCGUGCUAUUAGUACUAAACUUAAUGGAAGUGGUUACCUUUCGUGGUCUCAUGACUCAAUGUCUUCUAUUAGAAGUGAAUGUUUCAUCCUUCUUUUAUUUUGUUAUCCUAUUUGAAUACUUAGCUAAACCAUGAUUACUACUUGCUUGACCACAUCGUUGGGACCGGCACCCUCGCGCCAAGGCGCGUUGCCGAUCUAGUAGUUACUAAUGUGUUGGGUCAGGACUGAAUAAAACAGUCAUGAAUAAGGUUACGCAGUAGCACAGAU